UGACGAUGAAGCGCAGUCUGUUGGUAAGACGCUUCCCCUCCAACCAAUAGGUCGGGGGUUCGAGUCACCUUAGGAGCUAGAGUGUGAGUGGGUUUUUUCCUUUCUUUGGUUGUAACAAAUUUAAAAAAAAAAAUUUGUCAUGAACUUAUAAAUAAUAUGCAUAUUAAAUAUUUGUGCAUAAAUUAAAUGUGAGGAUGUUUAGAAAAGAAUUAUUUUAUAUAAAAAAAUAGAGAUAAAAAUAGAGAAAAAAAUUGACGGGAGAAGAAAGAGAAAAAAAAAAGAAAGGUAAAAUAUGAAGGGAAAAAACUCCUCUUUUAUAUAGAGUUAAUAUAUAAAACUAUCCACUUUCAUAUUGUAAAGAUAAAAAUUGUCCACUAAGAUAAAAAUAAUAAAAACUGUCCACUUUUUGAUUAAAAAGACAGAAAUACCCUUCUUUAAAUAUAGGUACUCUCUCUUUCUCUCCAGGCAUCUUUCUCAUCUCUCAUUCUCUUCUCUCUCUCCACUCUCUUUCUCUCUCUUCUCCACGAUACUCCCUUUCCCCUUCU
rnacentral:lncRNA from 1 species